GAAUUGCCAAUGGGCGAAGCCUGACGCAGCGACGCCGCGUGGGUGAUGAAGCUCUUCGGAGUGUAAAACCCUGUCAGUGGGGAAGAACCGCGCAGGGAGUAACUGUCCUGCGCCUGACGGUACCCGCAGAGGAAGCUCCGGCUAACUCCGUGCCAGCAGCCGCGGUAAUACGGAGGGGGCGAGCGUUGUUCGGAUUUACUGGGCGUAAAGGGCGCGUAGGCGGGACAGCAAGUCAAAUGUGAAAGCCAGCGGCUCAACCGUUGGUCGGCAUUUGAAACUGCUGUUCUUGAGUACGGGAGAGGAAAGCGGAAUUCCUGGUGUAGCGGUGAAAUGCGUAGAUAUCAGGAGGAACACCGGUGGCGAAGGCGGCUUUCUGGUCCGAUACUGACGCUGAGGCGCGAAGGCCAGGGGAGCAAACAGGAUUAGAUACCCUGGUAGUCCUGGCAGUAAACGAUGGGCACUAGGUGUUGGAGGUAUCGACCCCUUCAGUGCCGCAGCUAACGCAUUAAGUGCCCCGCCUGGGGAGUACGACCGCAAGGUUGAAACUCAAAAGAAUUGACGGA
rnacentral:rRNA from 1 species